UAAGCGGAGGAAAAGAAACUNACAAGGNNUCCCCUAGUAACUGCGAGUGAAGCGGGAAAAGCUCAAAUUUAAAAUCUGGUGGUCUUUGGCCAUNCGAGUUGUAAUUUAGAGAAGUGUCUUCCGCGCUGGACCGUGCACAAGUCUCCUGGAAUGGAGCGUCAUAGAGGGUGAGAAUNCCGUCUUUGGCAUGGACACACCAGGGCUUUUGUGAUGCGCUCUCGAAGAGUCGAGUUGUUUGGGAAUGCGGCUCAAAAUGGGUGGUGAACUCCAUCUAAAGCUAAAUAUUGGCGAGAGACCGAUAGCGAACAAGUACCGUGAGGGAAAGAUGAAAAGCACUUUGGAAAGAGAGUGAAACAGUACGUGAAAUUGUUGAAAGGGAAACGCUUGAAGUCAGUCACGUCGACCGAGACUCAGCCUUGCCUCGGCUUGGUGUACUUCUCGGCUGACGGGUCAGCAUCAAUUUUGCCCCUUGGAUAAUGGCGAGGGAAAUGUGACACCUUUAUGGUGUGUUAUAGUCUCUCGUCGCAUGCAAGGGUUGGGAUUGAGGAACUCAGCACGCGCCUUUUGGUGUCGGGGCUUUGCCCACGAUACGUGCUUAGGAUGUUGGCAUAAUGGCUUUAAACGACC
rnacentral:rRNA from 1 species